UCUGGCUGUCUCCUCUCCUGCAGAAACCCCAUGGGCAGGUGUGCAGCCAGCAUGGAGGGAAGAUGUGUGUGCCAGCAGAGAGAGCACGAGGCCUGGAGUUCUCAUCUGUGCCACCAGAAGCAGGGGACAGUGAAACAUCAUCCAUGACCACUAGGGAGACGGCUCCAUCCCAGGCAUCACAAACCAGCCCAGAAGUGUCACCGGUCUAGUGGCAACAGAAAAAUGCAGACAGAUCAAUAUGGAUGGUCAUGCUCACGUUCCUCAUGGGAAAC
rnacentral:lncRNA from 1 species